ACUAAUGUCCAAUUUUUUAAGCGA
rnacentral:snRNA from 1 species